rnacentral:lncRNA from 1 species
CAUGGUUUAUGAAUUUCUUAAAACUUUGGCUCGUGCCAAAAUCAUUUUUAUACCCAGUUAUCAGGGAUGCCUUGAUCGAGGGCUAUCCCAACCGAGUCCGCCAAGGCUAGUAAAAAGUUAUGUACGAAUAAAUCAUGUUUUUAUUUUGAAAACAUAGCCGUUCCUUGGCGUUGGCCGAGUUCCCCUCACAUGGUGGUUUGGCAUGAAGUGAACUCUAAAGUUUGACCUCGGGAGUUACCCUACGCGCCUCUCCAAUCGAGGUACAUAUAUAUGACCAAGUUCCCUGCCCCUCUAAUAGGUUGGUCCAUAGAACCAGCCCACUGCAGCAAUCUAAACCCACCAUACAAUAAAAAUUCAACAGCAUGACAUGGCUAUUUUUAUCAUUAUCCAGCCUAUCAAGGCAAACAACAGUUUAUACAUUUCAACACAUAUACUAAUUCAACCAUUCAUGCCAAUAUUGUCAUAAGCCAUUCAAUUCAAACCGUGAUUUAUAACACACCAAUUAGUCUCCAAUUACUCCAUUUUCAAAAUCAUCUUUCAAUUUCAAGAUAAUUUUAUAAAAUCAUUUCAUUAAAUCACAUUUGGUUUAUAAAAUCAAAAAAUUAAUCAUUUAAUUCAAUUUCCAUAAAAUUCACAAAAUCGAAUAAAACAUAUUUUAGAUGAUUAAGACGAUAGUAAGGUUACUCACUAUAUCGGGAGUCGAAUUUCAAGUACUCAGAUUUUUGAUUCCUCGGGUACUAUCUCUUUACUUUUUCCAGAAUACUCACCACCUAGAUAUAAUGCACAAUAAGCCAUUUACUACAUUGUGCUAACUUGUUAUAAAACCAAUUCAGGCUUUAUACUAAUGUAUGAAAUGGGAUGUGAAAUGCUCGGGUAACUAUCUAAAUACGGUGUUCAAUAUAAAUUCAGUUAUGUACCUAAAUAAAACGGUAUUGGCCUAAUUCGAUCUAUCUCUCGAUUAAUUCGCCAAUAUGUCCAAUUUAACUCCAAAUAAUUCCUUUUUUCUCCCAAUACUCCAAAUCAUCAAACACAAGUCAAAUAGCAUAAAAUCUAGCAAAAUCAUCUUCACAUUUUCUCUUGGAAAAUUCAGCCAUGGUGGGUGCAUCAAUACUAUGAUUUUUCCAACUUGAUUCUCACACCUUAAAUCAUCAUUUCCUAACCAAUUCACUUGAAAUAAAAUCAAAAUCAUCAUCCACACUCUACAUGGAAAAUUCGGCCAAUGAUGGGUGAUGGGAGAAAAUGAAUUUUUCUUGCUUGAUUUUCAUGCUACACAUUACUAACUAACUAAAAACACUAAAAUAUCUUAAAAUCUAACCAAAUCAAUCAUCAAAUCUUCUCUCUCUAAAUUCGGUCAGCCAUGCAUCCUUCAUGAUAUAUUGUGAUACAACCAUGGAAAAUGUAAAAUAAUGCAUGGGAAAUGUCAAACCCGGUACUCUCCUCGAGCCCGUGACAACCGCCGCGAUGUCCCAAUAGACAUUCAUCGCUCGAAAUGCAGAUCGGAACCUCGCAAGGCUUUAAUAUUAGUUUUCUCACCUCCACUGUGAUCAAUAGUUGUAAUAUAACAUGUUUUGAGAGGUUAUAAACUAUUUCCAAAUCAAAACAAUAGAAAAAUAAUUCUUUUGUCUCACAGGGGCAUUUUGGUCAUUUUUCCUCACAAAUCUCGAAACCAGUUAAAAAUGUGGUAUACGAGUGGAAAACACAUAUUUCAUAAUCAAAAAUAAAUUUAGAUGUCUAAAACAUUCAUUUAAAAUGAAACUAUAUCGAUUUGAAUAUAAUAAAAAUAUUCAAUAAAAUAUUCUAUUUUCUUAUAAAACAAUAUUUAUAGAGUUAUCGGUAAAUAAUUUUUGUAGCGUAAAAGCUAAAUAAGUUCAUACAUACUGUAAUACAGAUAACCAAAGUAUAAAAUUUAAUUUACAGUGACACGUGGGCUCACAAAUGACUAAAAGUAUCAAAAGAAAUGAACCUACAGUUUUUGGAUGUGGCAAGUCCAACUGUAGUCCUCAACGAUAUCAGUUAUCUACAAUCUAUUCUGAGCCUGAAAUGGGUGGAAAGGAGGGUGGUGAGAUUAUAUAAUCUUAGUGACUAAACAAAUACCAUCUAAAAUAUCUAAAGCUGAGUAAAUGGAGACAGAUAAAAUAGUUUAACAUACUGUAAUUCAUCACCUUUCAACAAGUUUUAACCAAAUAAAAUCAAUUCAUAUAAAUCGAGUAAUUAACAUGGCUUAUGAAUUUCUUAAAAGAUUUGGCUCGUGCCAAAAUCAUUCUCAUACUCAAUUAUCAGGGAUACCUUGGCCGCGGGCUAUCCCAAACCGAGUCCUCCAAGGCUAUUAAAAAGUUAUGUACUCAUAAAUCAUGUUUUUAUUUUGAAAAUAUAGCCGUUCCUUGGAGUUAGCUGAGUUCGCCCUCACGUGGUGGUUUGGUGUGAAGUGAACUCUAAAAGUUAUACCUCGAGAGUUACCCUACUCGCCUCUCUAACCGAGGUAAAAUAUAUCAGGAUUUCGUGCCCCUCUAAUAGGCUAGUCCACAGAACCCUGCCCAUUGCAGCAAGCUUAACCCACCAUACAAUAAAAUUUGAUAUAGCAUGACAUGGCAAUUAUUUUAUUUUACAGCCUCUCAAGGCAAAUCAACAGUUCAUACAUUUGCAACACAUUUAUCAAGUCAACCAUUCAUGCCAAUAUUGCCAUAAGCCAAUCAAUUAGAACCAUAAAUUUACAACACAUCAAGUGGUCUCCAAUUACUCUAUUUUCAAAGCCAUCAUUUAAUUUCAAGACAAUUUAUAAAAUCAUUUCAUUUAAACACAUUUUAUUUAUAAAACAUAAAGAUUUACUAUUUAAACUCAUUUUCUAAAAAUCACAAAAUCAGAUAAAAAUCACUCUAGAUAAUUAAGACGAUAGUAAGGUUACUCACUGUUUUGGGAGUCGAAUUUCGAGUUCUUCGAUUCUCGAUCCUCGAGUACUAUCUCUUUACUUUUGCUAGAAUGCUCACCACCUAGACGUAAUGCACAAUAAGCCAUUUACUACAUUUGUGCUAAAUUGUUAUAAAACCAAUUCAGGCUCUAUACUAAUGCAUGAAAUGGGAUGUGAAAUACUCGGGUAACUAUCUAAAUACGGUGUUCAAUAUAAAUUCACUUGUGUACCUAAAUAAAUCGGUAUUGGCCUAAUUCGAUCUAUCACCCGAUUAAUUGGCCAAUACGUCCAAUUUAACUCUAAUUAACUCCAUUUUUCUUCCAAUUCUUAAUUCACCAAACACAAGUCAAAUAGCCUAAAAUUUGGCAAAUCCAUCUUCACGUUUCUUCAUAGAAUUUUCGGUCAAUAAUGGUGCAUCAACACCGUGAUUUUUCCUACUACUUUUCCACACCAUAAUUCAUCAUUUUCUAACCAAUUCUCUUAAAAUAAAAAUCAAAUUCAUCCUCACUCAAUACAAGGUAGGUUCAGCCAUUGAUGGGUGAUGGGGAAAAUGAAUUCUUUUCUUGUUGUUUUGCUUCUAGACAUGGUAAACUAACUAAAAACACUAACAUAACUUGAAAUCAAAUCAAUCCAACAUUAUUCUCUCUCCAUAUCCAUUUGGCUAGCCAUGAAUUCACCAUGAAAACAUGUAAUUUAACCAUGGAAAAUAAGGAGAAAUGAUUAAGGAAAAUAGAUUUCAAGUUUAAAUUGAGAAAUCCUACCUUUUUCACUUGUUUUCCUUGAUUUUCCACACUUUUUCUCUUGAAAUUCUCCACCUAAGGUUUGUUCUUUCUUUUCAUUCCUUUGUUCUUCCUUUGGCCGGCCAUAUGAAUGAGAAAUGGGCUGAUUUUGUACUAAUUUAUAAGGAAAAUAAUGAAUGGAUGAGAUUUUGACACAUAUCACCAUUCCACUAGUCCAUGUGUCAUACUUAGCCAUUAAGCAAUCUCUCUCCACCACUUAAAUUUUUUCAAUUAUCCAUGAUAAUAUUGGGUAAAAUCCAUGUGCUGGACAAGUGUUGGGUGGUGUAAAAUUACGAUUUUACCCUUGGGCUGCAAAAUGACUAUUUUGCCCCUAUGCUAGGAAAAAUGCCGGCAUUAAAAUUUUUUACUUCUCAAACUCAAAUUAUGUCUAAAUAGUCAAUCUUAGUCAAAAAAUUUCAUCCAACACUCACAUCUUAAUCUCGGGUGGCAAAAUGACCAUUUCGCCCCUAGGUCAUGAAAAUUCUAAUUUGACUCCAAAUCUGUCCUCGAACUCCGAAUCACCAUUUUAAGUCAUUCUGGGGUUUUAAAAUUCUCAAUUUCAUCUUAAAAUCUCUAUUUGGACUAGUUCGAGGCUUAAUUCAACUUAAUUGUACCAUUUGGUACAUUACCGUCCUUUAUCGAUUUUCAAGGUACCCAAGUAAGCAAACAUGCAUUCUUCUGUAUGAAGGGCAUAAUAAACAUAUUGUAGAGCUGGGCUUGACAGGAAAGGUAGAUCACAAGUCAAAAUCAAGAAAUUUUACCUUUGAUUGCUUAAUUACUUGAAUUUUCACAUUUUUCCCUUGAAUUUUUCCACCUAGGGUUUGUGUUCUUCUUUUCUUCCUUUGUUCUUGCUAUGGCCAGUCAUAAUGAAGAGAAAUGGGCUGAUUUUGUACUAAUUUAUAAGGAAAAUAAUGAAUGGAUGAGAUUUUGACACAUGUCACCAUUCCAUUGGUCCAUGUGUCAUACUUAGCCAUUAAGCAAUCUCUCUCCACCACUUAAAUUUCCUCAAUUAUCCAUGAUAAUAUUGGGUAAAAUUCAUGUGCUGGACGAGUGUUGGGUGGUGUAAAAUUAUAAUUUUACCCCUAGGGUGGCAAAAUGACUAUUUUACCCCUAUGCUUGAAAAACACCAAAAUUAAAAUUCUUCACUUCUCAAACUCAAAUUAUACUCCAAUAAGUCAAAUGUGAUCAAAAUCUUUCAAAAAAAUUCUAAUUUCUCCUCGAGUGGCAAAAUUACCAUUUUACCCCUAGAUAGUGAAAUUUUUGAUUUGACUCCAAAUCGGUCUUUGAACUCCGAAACACCAUUUUAAGUCAUUCUAAAGUUUUAAAAUUCUCAAUUUAAUUUUAAAAUCUCUAUUCAGACUAGUUCGAGGCUUAAUUCAACUUAAUUGUACCAGUUGGUACAAUACCGUCCUUUAACGAUUUUCAAGGUACCCAAGUAAGCAAAUAUGCAUUCUUAUGUAAGAAUGACAUAAUAAACAUAUUGUAGAGUCGGGCUUGACAGGAGUACUCAGAAUUUGACUCCCAAAAUAGUGAGUAACCUUAUCAUCAUCUUGAUUAUCUAAAGUGAAUUUUAAUUCGUUUUUGUGAUUUUAUGGAAAAUGUGAUUAAAUGAAAUGAUUUUAUAAAAUUGUCUUGAAAUUGAAUGAUGAUUUUGAAAAUAGAGUAAUUGGAGACUACUUGCUGUAUUGUAAAUUAUGUUUUGAAUUGAAUGGCUUAUGAUAAUGUGGGCAUGAAUGGCUGGAUGAGUAUUUGUGUUGAAAAUGUAUAAACUAUUGUUUGCCUUGAUAGGCUAUAUAAUGAUAAAAUUACCAUGUCAUGCUGUUGAAUUUUUAUUGUAUGGUUGGUUUAGCUUGCUACAGUGGACAGGUUUUGUGGACCAGCCUUUUUGAGGGGCAUAGAAUCUCGUUAUAUUCUUAACUCGAUUGGAGAGGCAUGUAGGGUAACUCCCGAGGUACAACUUUAGAGUUCACUUCACGUCAAACCACCACGUGAGGGUGAACUCAGCAAAUGGCAAGGAACGACUAUGUUUUCAAAAUCAAAAACAUGAUUUAUGCAUACAUGACUUUUUAACAACCUUGGCGAACUCGAUUGGGAUAGCCCUAGGCCAAGGUAUCCUUGAUAAUUGAGUAUGAGAAUGAUUUUGUCACGAGCCAAGCUUUUCAGGAAAUCAUAAGCCUUGUUGUUUAUUUUGGGUGAAAUGAAUCUAUUUUAUCUUAUUAAAAUGAGUUCGAAAUGCUGUGAAUCAUUUUUAUGCUAAUCUAUUUUAUCUGUCUCCAUUUACUCAGCUUUAGAUAUUUUAGAUGGUAUCUGUUUACUCACUGGGAUUAUAUAAUCUCACCACCCUCAUUUUCACCCAUUUCAGGCUCAGGAUAGUUUGUAGAUAGCUGAUAUAGUCGAAGGCUACAGUUGGCUUUACUUCCUCAAAAACUGUAGGUUCAAAACCUUCAUCACUUUUAGUCGUUUGGGGGCUCAUGUGUCAUUGUAAAUUUAAUUACAUACCUUGACUAUCUGUGUUACUGUAUGUAUGAAUUUAUUUUGCUUUUACGCUACAAAAAUUAUUUACGGAUAUCUCUAUAAAAAUUGUUUUAUAAGAAAAUGGAAUAUUUUACUCAAUAUUUUUAUUUUAUUCUAAUUGCUAUCAUUUCACUUUUAAUGAAUGUUUUAGACAUCUAAACUUAUUUUUGAUUAUGAAAUAUGUGUUUUGCACUCGCAUACUACAUUAUUAGCUAGUUUUGAAAUUUUCAAGAAAAAAUGACCAAAAUACCCCCGAGAGACGAAAAUUAUUUUUUUAUUGUUUUGGUUUGGAAAUAGCUUAUAAUCUUUUAAAAUAUGAUAUUAGCAACUGUUGCUCUCAAGGGAGGUGAGAAAACUGAUAUUAAAGCCUUACAAGGUUUCGGUUGGCAUUCAGGGUAAUGAAUGUCUAUUGGGACAUCACGGCGGUUGUCACGGGAUCGAGGAGAGUAUCAGGUUGUGACAAUUAAAUCCCUUAAAGUGAAGGAUUUAUAAUCCACAAUGGAGUUGAAAAGAGUGAAAACUACAGCAAAUGUCCAAGCAAAACAGAGGGUAUCUCGCUGCAGUGGAAAGGGAUUCUAUAGCAUAUAGUACAAUCACAUUUUUAUUUUCAUAACCUGUCUAUAGCAUAUAUAUAUAUAUACAUGUACACCACCGCCGCCUUACUCAGCUUAUGUGCACUCCCUACACACACAAGGCAAUAUCAUUAUGUUCACUCCCUACACGCACAUUUCAAUAUCAUCAUGUGCACUCCCUACACGCACAUUUCAAUAUCUUCACGCGCACUCUAGCCCACAUCAUUACCGGCAUGUGCACUCCCACAUCGCACACCACCGGCACCGUCAUGUGCACUCCCACACCGCAUGUAAUACCCUGCAUCCUCGUUGGACACAAAUAAGACCUUAUUAAUCAAACGAAUGAUCGUUUGAUGCGAAUUGGCGUGCUAAAGAGCGAUAAAGGAUGAAAGGAACGUUCAAGAAUAAAAUGCUUCGCGCGUGCAAAAUUAACAAUUAAAUAAUAAUAUUUUCGUUGGGGAAGAAUUAGUAAGCUAAAGGAUGAUUUGGAAGUAAACCGAGAUGUAAUGAUGCGUUUCGAGACCAAAGAAGGCAAGUGAAAAAUUUUGAAAUAAAAUAAUAUUAAAAUAUUAAUAUUUAUAUGUUGCCGAAAUUAGUCAUGAAAAAUGAAAUAUGACUAAUUCAAGUGGGGGAGAAGAAGUAAAGAAGAAUUUUGAAGGAAAACGACGAUAAUUGUGACAACAUGAUUUUAUUCAAUCGAGCUAACGCGGGUAAGUAAAUAUUUAAAUAUUAUGGUGACACCGCGUUGAAAUGCGAUCUCGAUAUUUUGAUUAUACACAUGUAAGAAAAGGAAGAUAGAAGGAAAUUAGAAUUUUUAAACGUAGCGGCAUGAUCAAAUUUUAAGAUACGAAAAUUGAAAGAUUGAGUACCAAAUAAAAUGAAGUUAAGGCAUAAUAUGUAAAUUUUAUUGUUUUGAAGAAAUAAAAAUACAAUGAAAAUAAAAUGGAUGAUAAAAUAAUGAAGAAAAGAUGUUGAAAAGUCAGACAAUAUUUUUAUAUGUACAUGAGUGACCACAUGAGUCAAGAAUGGAAAUGAUGUGGUUUGGAUGGGAAUGAAGAAAAGUCAAAGUUAUUUGGAAUAAUAUUAAAUUGGAACCAAGUGAGGUGAAUGGCCGGCCAUACAAAAGAAAAGAAGAAAGACAAAAAAGUAAAGAAAACAAAAGAGAAGAGUGUAGAAAGGAAGGUGGGGGCCAGCCAUGUGAGGAAAGAAAAAGGAAGAGAGAAAAGUUAAGUCGAUUAGUGAAGAAGAAAAAGAGAAGAAAAAUAAAGGAAGAAAAAAAUGAAGAGAAAAAGGGAGAGAAAGAACCGUGAGAGAGGAAGAGCAAAGAGAAUGGUUUUGCUGCACUUUGAGGAAGGAAAAAGAGAGUUUUUGCUGCAAUUUUGGAGGAAGAAGAAAUCUGAAAAUUUUGAGGUAAGAAAGUUGAUUGUUUUGAGGUUAAUUGCUAGAAUUUUUAAGGUUUUUAUGGCUGAUUUUGGAUGUAGAAAAUUGGAGCUGUUUGUUGCCAAUGUGUGCAAAAAAAUUGUGCAGAAAAAUUGGAGCUGGUUGUUGCCAAUUUGUGCAAAAAAAUUGUGCAGAAAAAUUGGAGCUGGUUGUUGCCAAUUUGUGUAGAAAAAUUAUGCAGAAAAAUUGGAGCUGUUUGCUGCCAAUUUGUGCAGAAAAUUGGACAGCUUGUGCUGCCAAAAUUGAGGAGUUUUGUUGCUGGAAAUUGAGCUGGAAAUCUGUCGAUUUUAGAGCAGAAAAUGGUAGCAAAAAGGGUGAGAAAAUGAGGUUUUUGGUGACCGAUUUUGAGAGGAAAGGAAGAGAGGAAGCCACGGUGAUGAAGAGAUGAAGCCAUGGUGGUGAAGAGAGGAAGCCACCGUGGUGAAGGGAAGCCACAGGCUGGAAAGAAAAAAGAAGAAGAAACAUGGAAGAGGAAAAAAGAAAGAAAAAGAAAAAAGAAAAGAAAAGAAAUAGAAAAUAAAUGGGCAUGACCUAAUGGAAAAUAAGUGGGCAUGACCGAAUAGAAAAUAAGUGGGCAUGGCCCAAUAAGAAAUAAAAAUAAAUGGGCUUAGCCCAAAUAGGAAAAAUAGAGAAGCCCAUGGAGAGGGCCCAAAGGUCAUAAAGAAAUGAAAAAGGCCCAAUGGUAAGUUAAUUUUAUAUUUUAAGAUUUAUGGGUAGUUUAAUAUUGUGCAUAUUUUGGAUGAAAAAUAUGCAAGUUGCUUAAGGAAUUUUUAAUUAAGUUGCUACCCAUACAAAUGUGUAAUUAAGUAUACUGAGUUUAAAUUGUUGCUAGGAAAGUUUAUUGUGGAGGCGUGCCGAACGAAGUAUGUGACCGACAAAUAGGAAUAAUUAUAUACGCGUACAAAUCAAUAGUGAAGUAAUAUCCCACUAUUAUGAGGUGAGUAGGGGGUGUCAAUUUUAAAAAUUCCUUAUAUAUAUACAUGUAUGUACAUUUUACAUGAAGUGCAAAAUUUAUGGAAAGCAUGCGUUGAUAGAAUUUUAAGGAAUUGUGAGUGUAAGUUAUUUUUAGAAAUAAUUUGGAAUAUAAACAAGCUUUUCGAAAAGAUUUAUAUCAAAGGAAAUUGUGCCUUAUUGUUUGUGUGGUGUGCAUUCAUGAAAUUUAUUACAUAUUCACCAUGCUAUUUUGAUACAAAAUAUCAUGCAAAUGUUUACAAUGAACAUUUUAUGAAAAGAGAGUUUUAACGUGAUGUGGGGAUCGAUAUUUUGAGAAAGAUUUAAAAUAUCCCCUUGAAGAUCAAAUUUGAAUUCUUUUAAAAGGUGAUUUCAUUUUUAACCAAGAAUUCAAGAGUAAUUGGAGAUUACUACUUGUUGUGUUAUAAAGUGUAUCUCGAUUCGAAUGGCUUAUGAUAAUGUGGGCAUGAAUGGCUGGAUUGGUAUUUGUAUUGAAAGUGUAUAAACUGUUAUUUGCCUUGAUAGGCUGGAUUGUGAUAUAAUUGCCAUGUCAUGCGGUUGAGAUUUUAUUGUAUGGUGGGUUAGCUUGCUGUAGUGGGCGAGUUCUGUGGACCAGCCUAUUAGAGGGGCACGAAAUCCGGAUAUAUAUAUGUACCUCGAUCAGAGAGGCACGUAGGGUAUCUCCUGAGGUAUGGAUAGAGUUCAUGUCACGCAGAACCACCUCGUGAUGAUGAACUCCGCUAACGCCAAGGAACGGCUGUGUUUUCAAAAUAAAAAUAUGAUUUAUGCGUACAUUACUUUUUAAUAGCCUUGGCGGAUUCGGUUGGGAUAGCCCCAGGACAAGGUAUCCUUGAUAACCGAGUAUGAGAAUGAUUUUGGCACAAGCCAAGUUUUUAAGAAAGUCAUAAGCCAUGUUGUUUAUUUUUGACAAAAAUGUAAUGGUUUUAUAUGAGUUGAAAUAAGUUUUAAUAUUAUGAAUUAUAUUUCUCUGCAUGGUGAAAAAAAAAAAGAAUUAAACGGUUUUUCACAACUCCCCUAUUUGUUUAUUCGUGAAAUGAAUAUGUAAUUCCUCCCAUAUAGGGUGAGUUAUGAUUUGUGCAUGAUUUUAAAUAUUGUAUGGUUUCGCGGGAGCUUGCUAAAUUUUAUUGAUUUGAUUCGAAAAUGAUUAUUAAUAUAUUUUGAUGCAAAAAAUUUUAUUAUCUCGAUUAUUUAUACUUUAUAAGAAAUUCUUGAUUUUUAUAUAAGGCACAAAUCCCCAUUUGAAACGAAUUGCUUUUAUAAUCCUGCAUUUUUAUAUUCAACUUAUAUGCCGUUUACUUGUUUCCCAUCUACGCCUUACUCGCUAAGUCGAUGAUUAUCAUUGAGUCUAUGAGACUCACACCCCUUUAUUUCCCUUUUUGCAGAUAGGAAUCAGCCUAGCGUGUAGUCAGUGAUGCGUUUGGUCCACCGUGAAUAGGUAAAGGCAUCUCCUAGCAUUUUAUUCUGAGUCACUCUGCUGUUAGGGGUCAAGUCGUAGCAUUUCAUUUCUUAAGUUGUAAAUGAAUUCUAAAUUUUUAUAUAAGCAUUAAUUUGGAGAUUAUAGAUUUAAUGCAUAUACUUACGAAUAAAAGGAAAAAGUUUGUAUUGAUUUUUAUAUUUAUGGUUCAAUUUAGUAUAUGAAAGUAUCAAUAUUAUAUGGUGAUUGAAUGUAGUGGAUUAACGAGCAAAUUCUAGAUAGGCUUGUUCGAGACUUGGCGGGUCUUUUUCGAAAGUCUUGGACCCCGACAGCGACCGGGGAGAGGUUGUUGCACCGCAUGUGCACAAAUAUAGCUAUUAUACAACAUUAUCACUCAAAGCAUAACAUACUUAUCUACAUAAUAUAGGAACACAUGAUUUCAUUAUAUCACAUAUUUUACCACAUAAAAACAUUUCAUCAAGGGCUUGUUCCCAUGAACAUUUUAAAGAAAAGUCUGAUAAAACAUUUCAGGUGAUUUAAUUAAACACAUAUGCAUUUAUUCCAAAAUAUUUUAAUGCAAGUUCACUCACAGUGUCUUUGUUGAUGCUUUGAUCGACUCUAACUGCGUCUAAUUCUCCGAAUGGAGAUGUGGAGUCUCGUUGGAACCUAUCACACACAAUAGUAUCACACCAACUCAAUUUACAUAGAUACUAUUCCAAAAGUUAUUUCCUAAAUCAAGUUUUACUAGUUAUUCCUAACUAGCUUCCAAUUACCAUUUAACUAGUCAUUGUUCACACUAGACAUGAUUAAAUAACCUUCAACAAUAAAUUAGCCCACAAACCUAAUUAUUGGCCAUCAUUAACAACUCAAAAAUCAAAUCUAACUCAUUACUCACCUUAGUGGUUUUAUAGUGGAGUUCUUUUCAAGAGUUCUUCAAGCUAUCAAGGAAAGUCUAUCUCUCUCUCUCUCAAAAUGUUCAACUAGUGAGAGAAAGUGCAAAGGAAAAGCGUUUGAGGGUUCUUGAGGUGUAAAAGUGAAAGAGUAUGAAAAAGUGUACAAAAGCAUGAAAAUCAGAGUUAAUUCGAGAAAGUUAUAGAGGCUUUAAGGUUUCUUUUCCAUGGAAGGGGGAAAACGUUUAGUGAGGGGAAAGGAUGGGAAGAAGAAGAAGCUGCUGGAAGUGAGGAGAAGUUGCUGGAAGAAAUGAGAUAUUUAUCCUAAAGUCAAUCAAAGUUUCACGAAAUUUACAAAAAUGCCCUUUUUUUGUUCUUCUGGUGCAGUGCCUUCACUUUGACAAAGCUUUUGACCACUUUCCGAUCAGAAAUGGGAAAAGUGGUAAACAUCAAAGUUGUAGCUAUCCCUCUUAGAUUUCUAAUGGUUUAAAAAUCAUGUCAUUUUAACUUCUGUAGUAUGAGAUAUGCCUGAAAAAUCGAAACAUAUGCAAAUAGAGCAACAGUUAAUUAUGCACCUUUCUUCACCAAUUGAAAUUAUUUUUGAUCCUACUCCUAUAAAAACAUAAAAUAAUUAUAAAUAACAUAAAACUAGCAUCAUUAACUCAAAAUAAACACUUAAACAUAAAUUAAACUAAACUAAUAAAAUAAAUAAAAAUACUUAAAUUCAAUCCUAAAUUUAGUCCAACUUAGGCUAAUUAGGUAUUUAAUCUCCCAUUAAAUUUGAGAAUUUGAUGCACUCAACAAUCUACCUCUAGUCACGCAUCUAUGGAGGUUGGGGUUUCAUAAUUAGGCACCAUAUUAAAGUACGAGGUAUUAUACAUAAUUCUUUAUAUAGCUGAUGAUCAAACUUUAAGAAUGAAUAUGGAGAUCAAUAAUAGUAGACAUUGCACCAUGCUUUUAUCAUCUUCAGGAUAUAUGAUAAGGGAAUGAAUUACACUGAAAGAUUGAUCAUUAAAAGGUUAAGUCAAACCAUCUUGACUCUUCUAACAUUUAGGUGGCCAUGAUGGAUUGCUAGAUCCCAAUCUUGGUCUAUGAACUCUAGGUAGUUGACUUGAUUAAUGAUAAAUUUAAAGUAGUUUAAAUUUAUCUAAUUCUAAGUUUAACUUAAAAAUUAUAUGUUGAGUUCAUUGCCAACAUGUUAGAAGCCUAAUGGGUCACACACCUAAAAUGAAUGUUGAAAAUAAAAUGGGAGAGGUGAUUAAGGUGGACUUAAUCAAAUUAUAAGUUAUGAGCUUCUCAAGCACUUGAUUAAAAUUAUUUAAUUAAGUUGUGCCUAAUUAAUUAAAUUGUUUAAUUAAGUCAUUGGGCCUAAUUAAUUAAAUUGUUUAAUUAAGUCAUUGGGCCUAGUUGAUUAAAAUUUUUUAAUUAAGUCAUUGGGCCUAGUUGAUUAAAAUUGUUUAAUUAAAUUGUUGGGCUUAAUUAAUUAUAUUGUGUAAUUAAGUUAUUGGGCCUAAUUGAUUAAAUUAAACAAUUAAGUUAACUGGGCUUUUUAAGGACUUAAUUAAAUUGUUUAAUCAAAUUAUUGGAUUAAUUGGCAAUUGCAAGAUAGUUUUGUAAUUAGGGUUUAAAAUUAUCCAAGGUAUAAAUACCUUGCUAAAGCCACCAAACAAAUUGAGAGAGAAUGGCUGAAAAAUUAAGAGAACGGCAAAUUAGAAAUUACUUUUGCCUUGCCACUCCUUGUGUGAAGAAAAAAUAGUUUUUCAUUCACUUGAUUUCUUUUGUGUGUUCAGCCCUGAAAUUUUGUGUAGAUUAUGAGUUUAUGAAACUCAUCUAUGCUAGCACAUUGUUAAGGCAUAGCACUCCCAAUCCUUAAAGAAGGAUUUUCUAAUUCAUUAAUGUGGAUCACCAUUAGAGGCUACAAAAUGAUUCCUUAGAUAGCUUUGGUUUGCAAUAACCAGGCUGAGGUGGUUGAGGUUUUUGAAGGCUGAUUUGGUGGUUUAACAAAGGAUUCAUCAACCUUUGUUAUUUAGGUAAGCUUGAUAUGAUCUUAUAUAUAUAUAUAUUUAUAUAUAUAUAUAUUAUUUUUAAUUUAAUUCUGUACUCAAUGUGGCAUGAAAGAGAUCCUAGGAGGGUGAGGCAUAAUUUAAUUUUUAAAAUUUUUUUUCGUUGCAUUUUAUUUGUAUUAGAUGCAUUAUCAACCCUCACCAAACAACCACUCUUACGCGCCGGCCACCAAGGAAUGGUGAUUCAUUUAGCCCAUUAUUUAGGGGAGAACAGUCUAGUGGAGCAUCUAAUCUGGGCCCCAUGCAAAGGGGUGUUUUGUGUAAUUAUUGUGGCAAGGCACAUGGUGGACCAUGCCAUAAGGUAACUGGUUUGUGUUUUGGAUGUGUUCAAUUUGGAUGAGAGAUUGUCUGAUGUAGAGGUAGUUGGCUGAGGGUGAUCAUGGAUAUGGAUGGCAAGUGUCCAAUAUGUUAGGAAUUUUUGAGAAUAUGGUGCCCUAGAAAGCAAGUAUAUUCUCAUGCUUAAAUUCAUUAAAUUUAUUUGUUAUGAAAGUACAUUUUGAUAAUAAGACAAAGAGUUUGGUUUAGUAAGCAUUCAUUAUCUAGUUAUUAAGAUACCAAGAUUUUAUUGAGAUAUUAAAAUACAUUUGUAUGAAGAGUCAUACAUAGGAGACGUGUAUUUUAAUUGAAUUUAAAAAUUGUUCAUGCUAUAUAAUAAAGCUGGUUACUUUAUUAUGUUAAGGCUGUAGUGUCUAGAUUACUUCUAACGAAAUGAAUGUGAUUCAUUUCAAGGGAAUGAUGAGUCUCAAAUCAUCAAAAUGGUUGGCUUCGAGUAAUGACACUAUAACAUGAACUAGAAUCAUGCGAGAAUCAAAUUUAAGUUUUACUGUUACCUAAAUCUUGAUCUCACACUUAUGCAUUUGCUUAUAGUAGAACCGAAAUCUUGAUGGAAGGUGGACUCGUGUGUAAUCUCCUUAUAAUCUUUGAUUUACCAUGAGCAUGAUCAUCAUAAAGGGUUGAUCUAGACUCUGUAUUUUGGUAUUAUAAUCGAGAUGAACAUUUGGGAACAUAUAUCCAAAUAUUGGAGUUCAUAGCAUUAACAUCACUUCUAGUGAUUUCAAGAAGAUUGGUGAUUAAUCUGAGCCUAGUUGAUUAAUGAAUUAGCUACUCAUCACAUUUGGAUACUCAAAAGAUUAGAUCUAUAGUAUUAAAUCAUUGAUUGGAUGAAAUUUGAGACUAGGGGACAAAAUUGACAUAAAGGGUAAAAUGGUAAUUUCACCUUUUGUUAUUGGAUGGCUAUAAUGGUUCACAAUAUAAGGUUUGCAAUUGGACAACUAAUAAUUAAUAUCAUGUAUUGAAUUGUUUCUUGUAAUUAUAGUUAAUCCAAGAGUGCAAUCAUGAAUCUAUGGUGGAGUGAUUUCAUGGUUUUUUUUUUUCUAUGGUGGAGUGAUUUCAUGGUUAAUAAGCUUGAAUUUUUUUUAAUGAGAUUAAGAAUAAUUCUAAGUUUAUUGGAGCUUGGAAUAUCUAUGUCCAAAUAGAUUCCCCACUUAGCUUCGUAGAAUUCAACUUGUUUAAGUUGGAAUGCAUGUUUUAAUUUGUUUAAUUAAAUUGUGUACAAAAAUGACCUUAAACAUGUUUGGUCUUAAUUUAGACAAGAGUUAUCUUAAAUUAAGAUAAUUUUAAGAGGAUUCUUGCAAAAUGAAUCUAGACAUCCAUGUUGAUAAAAGAAGAUUCCAUGUUUGUCUAUUACUCUUUUAUUUAUUAUUAAUUCUUUUUAAAUAAAGAUGGAUAAUAAUAAAAUAAGAGUUAUUUGAAUAAGGAGUUUUAUUUUAUCAAGAACUCUAAAUGAUAAUUAAGAAUUAAAUUAUUUAUUCUUUAAUUUUUAUUUUGAUAAUUUUGGAGUAUGUUUGAUGCUUCCAUAACUCUAAAUGGAUGGUCAAAAUUGAUUCAAAGGUGUUUCAUUUUGAUUAAACCUUUGAAGCAAGAGUUUUAAUAAAAAGUGAAGAGAUUGGAAGAAAAAUUGAGAACGUACUUUUUCUUGAAAAAAGUUUCAGCCGUCACUUCUCUUCUCUUCUCCUCCUCCAAGCUUUUCCAAAGAAAAGAGAACAAAAUCGGUUGCCAUCUUGUAGUCUUGCAUUCCACACCUUGUCCACUCAAGGUUCAAGUUGAAACUAUUCUUGAAGAAUAAGUGGUAAACUUGUUUGGUCGAGAAAUCAUUCAUUGGUGUGGUGGUGUUCAAAAAUAAGAAUCUCAAAAUAAAGGUAUGGUUUUUCUUACUUAAUAGAUUCUUAUUUUAUUUCUUUGGAUGUGAUUAUGCUACUUGCAAUAAUAAUAAUAAUGUGUGUUUCCGCUUGUGUAAUUGAAUUUCUUGCUUCCUUUAUAAAAUAAAAUUUUGAAAUCCAUGCUUUAAACAAUCACAUUAAUUCACAAAGAUCCGACUCCAACACAAUACUCUUCCUAGAAUUGCACCAACUAGGAGAAAUGUUAGAGGUGAAAAAUGCAAAAGGGUAGCCUCAUCGUCUCGAGGUAGAUUGUUGUUGAUUUUUUACUCAUGCAAGUGCACGUAUCGCAAAGAUAAUAUAGAGAUGAAUAGAAUGUCGAUCCCACAGAGAAUUGAAUUAAUACUUAUUGUUAAUUACUAAAAUUAACACACCUUAAUUUUAUCUAAAAAAUUAAAUUUAAAAAAGAAAAAUUUAAAUUAAUAAACUAAAAACUAAAACUAAUAUAUUAGCAAAUUUUACUUCUAGUGAUUAACAGACCUAAGAUUAUGAUAUCCCUCAAUAUUUCAUCUGAAUAUUGUCUCUCUCUCUCUUAACUCAAUUUAAUGGAUUAAGUUGCUAACCUAGAGUCCUAAAUUAUUUACAAGUCUCUGUCAAGUUUCUCAUAAAAAUACCUCUCCUAAUUAAUUUACUAUAUGUCUAUGCAAAUUAUAUUGAAGAAGGAUUCAUUAAGUUUGUGCUUUAAUUUUGGCUACGUAUGGCUUUUAGGUGUAUGUCUACCCUAUAUGCAAAUCAAACCACCAUAUCAACUAAGUGUAUUCGAUCAUACGCUACUCUAUUCAAGGUCUACCUAAUUCUCCUUCGUCAAGGUUUAACUUAGGUUUCCAAUUCAAUCUAAUUGGUGGCCAGUAAACUAAAAGCAUUAAGAACAGAAUAAAAUAAACAACUUAAAUCUAUCAAACAUAAAUAAAAAAGAGAUAAAUAAUUCAUAGUACGUGUCGAGUUCAAUCAUAAUCUUAGAUUAACAAUUUAGUUCCCCAUCAAGUCACACAUCAUCAUUGAAUAAAGUUUAAACAUUAAGAACAAAACUAAGAAACAUAAGAAAAUAUCAAAAGGAAAAAACCAAGGAUUGUAUUCUUGAUUCCAAAUCUUCUUGAAGCCUUCAAAUUCUUCUUUGCUUCAAUGACUUUGUGGCUUGACUCUUAGCUGUCAAUCUGGUGUUUUGUUCUCCUUUGAAAGGUUAUUUUUAUAGGUUUUGAAGUUAGGCCAAGUUAAGUGAAGAAAGAAGUCAAUUUCAGCUAGAAUUUCCUCACCAAACAAUGUGAGUCGCAGCCUGGCCCAAUUAAUUAAUAGAAAUCGUAAUUGCUCUAAGAAUGCUACAGUGUGUCAACUUCGACAAGAUUUUUGACUAUUUUCAGGCUGAACUGGGUAAAAUCGUAAGCAUGAAAGUUAUAUAUUUUUUUCUUAUCUUUCCAAUGUUUCAAGAAUCGCUUUAUUUGGAGCUUUGUAGAGAGAGUUAUGGUCGAAAUACCAAAACAUAUACAGUGGAAGUCUGCACCUUGAAAUUGCUCUAUUUCUUCGAUUAAAAUUCUUCUUUCAUGAAACACUUACAAAAGCACAAAUAAAUCAAUAACAACUUCUCAUAACCACAUUAACACCAAAUUAAGUAUAAAAUUAACUAAGAUUAGUUUGACUCACCUAAAAUAACUAAUUUAAAAUAAUUAAAUAAAAUCUACUUAUUUUUAUGCAUUACUACAAGAACUAAGCUCAAUUACUAUCAAAAUUAAGCUCAAAUAACUUUAUAUCAUAGAGUUAGUAUAGAUCGACACAAUUGGGUAAUGAUGGAGGAGGCCAAGUGAAGGUGUUUGCUUUGAUACCGCAAGAUGCUUAGACUUCUAAUGUAGUGGUCAUAGGUACACUUUCUAUUUGUGGUACCAAAGCUUUAGUUUUGUUUGAUCCCGGAUCAAUACAUUCCUUUGUGUCCCCACAUUUUGUGCCAAAAUUAGAUCAAUUUUGUAGCAAUAUGGAGGAACCCUUAAUUGUAACUAUUCCUUUAGAGGAGACAUUUGCGGCAAAAUAUGUAUAUAAAUCUUUUGUGGUUCGUAUAAAGGACAAGGAUAUGUUAGCAGACUAAGUGCUGUUACUAACUUUGGAUUUUGAUGUGAUUUUGGGAAUGGAUUGGUUCGCAUCCUGUUUUGUUAAGGUAGAUUACUACUGUAAGCUUGUGAAGUUUAAGUUUUCAGGGGAAUCCUCAUUUGUGAUAUAUGAGCAUGGUAGCCCAAUGGCUGUGAGAGUUGUGUCGGACAUAGCUGCUAGGCCAAUGCAGAGGCAAGAAGGCCAAGGGUACUUGGCGAUGACAAGAAACACUUCGACAGAUGACGAGAGUGUGGAUUGUGUAUCGGCAGUGGGUUAGUAUUUGGAUUACUUCUUGAGAGGGAAAUAAAAUUUCGUAUUGAUUUUAUUCUGGAUACACAACCAAUUUCAAUACCUUUUUAUCGAAUGGCACCAACUGAAUUAAGAGAGCUUAAAAAGCAAUUGGAGGAUUUAUUGAAUAAGGGUUUUAUUCAUGCCAAUGUUUCUCUUUAGGGAGCUUCAAUGCUAAUCAUAAAGAAAAAAGGAUGGUAUCCUUUGGUUAUGCAUUGACUACCGAUAAUUGAAUAAGGUUACUAUGAAGAAUAUGAAUCCAUUCUCGAGGAUUAACGAUUUGUUUGAUCAAUUGUAAGGUGUCGUGUGCUUCUCUAAGAUUGAUUUACGCUCGGGGUAUCACCAAUUAAGAAUAUGAGAGUGUGAUGUACCCAAGAUAGGGUUCUGCACAUGUUAUGGACAUUAUGAUUUUCUAGUGAUGUCGUUUUGACUCACCAAUGCACCAAUAGCAUUUAUGGACUUAAUGAAUAAGGUUUUCUGAGCAUAUUUGGACAAAUUUGUGGUCGUAUUUAUAGACGACAUAUUGGUGUAUUCUAAGAGCUCGGAGGAACAUGCCCAACAUUUGAGAAUUGUACUUUAGACCUUGAGAAAGCAUAGGUUAUAUGCUAAAUUUUCAAAGUGUGAGUUUUGGUUGAAUAAAGUCAGUUUCUUUGGGCACAUUAUGUUUGAACAAGGGGUGCAAGUGGCUCCUAACAAAGUGGAAACUGUGGAGAAUUGGCCACGGCCAAAGUCUGCAACAAAAGUUAGAAGUUUGCUAGGUUUAAUCGGAUAUUAUAGACAUUUCAUACAAGAUUUUUGUAAGAUUGUAUUCCCUGUGACAAGACUGACACAGAAAGGAGUUAAGUUUGAAUGGUCUGAUGCAUGUGAGGCUAGUUUUUAGAGGCUCAAAGCCUAUCUCAUGUUCGCACUUUAGCUAAGUGUGCCAUGUGGAUCUAGAGGCUAUACCAUGUAUUGUGAUGCAUCAUAAAUUGGAUUGGGUUGUGUGUUUAUGCAACAUGGGAAAGUUAUGGCAUAGACUUUUCGAUAGUUGAAGAGGCAUGAAUAGAACUAUCCUACGUAUGACCUAGAAAUGGCUGCAAUUGUGUUUGCUUUGAAAAUUUCGCACCAUUAUCGCUAUGGUAUUACUUAAGAAAUAUAUACUGAUCAUAAGAGUUUGAAGUAUAUAUUUUAGCAAAGAGAUUUAAAUUUGAGACAACGUAGAUGGUUGGAAUUAUUGAAAGAUUAUGACUGCACCAUACUUUACCAUCCUAGCAAGGCCAAUGUGGUGGCAAAUGCCUUGAGCCGAAAAUCGAUGGGGAGUUUGGCACACAAGACAAUAGUGAAAAGACCUUUGGUGUAGAGCUUGUAUGAUUUGGGCAAUAUGGGUUUACAUUUUGAGGUUAAUGAUUUUAAUGCAUUGUUGGCACAUUUUAGAGAUAGACUAGUGAUACCAAAUCGAAUUAAAGUUGCCUAAGAUCAAGAUGAAUAUAUGGUGAAAAUAUUUAGAGAUAUGAGCAAAGAUAGAGGUCAAGACUUUGUGUCCGAAACAUAUGGUUUAAUGAGAUAUUGAUCAUGAAUUUAUGUGCCGAAUACGGAUAAUUUAAGAAAUGAGAUUUUGUAAGCGACGCAUGUGGCAACCUAUGCAAUACACUCUAGAGCCACCAUCAUGAUCUGAAGUCUGAGUAUUGGUGGCCAAGAUUAAAAAGAGACGUGGUGGAAUAUGUCUCUAAGUGUUUGACAUGUCAGCAAGUAAAGGCUGAGCACCAGAAGCCUUUCGAACUGUUACAGCCAUUACUAAUUCUCGAGUGGAAAUGGGAACAUGUAGCAAUGUAUUUUGUGACGGGUUUACCACAAGCUAGAGGUGGCUAUGAUGCCAUUUGGGUAAUAAUUGAUUAGCUCAUUAAGUAGGCUCAAUUGUUUCUGGUCAAAAUUAAGUAUGAAGCAGCUCAGUGUACCCAAAUCUGUAUUGAUGAGAUUGUAAGACUACAUGGUGUUCCAGUAACGAUAGUGUCCGAUUGAGUAUCAUAGUCCGGUAGCUAGUUUUGGAGGAAAUUUCAAGAGGCCUUAGGCACAAGAUUGGAUUUUAGAAUGGCCUUCCACCCACAAAUGGAUGGCCAAUACGAGUGCACCAUUCACACACUAGUGGAUAUGUUGAGAGCAAUUGUGCUCGAUGUGAGACCUUGAUUUUUUUAUAGACUCGUAGCUAGAAGUAGACGCGAUAACACGAACUAGGGAUAAUUUUGUCAUUUUCCUUAAUGAGCUUUUAGAAGUGGGUUUUCUAAUAUUAUUAAGGCCUAAGUAGGCCUAAGGAAUAAAUGAAUGAUGAAAAUGAGGAUAAAAUGACGAAGGAAAUAAAAAUAAUGAUGAUUUUUAAGGUAGGGGCAAAAUGGUCAUUUUUCAUCUCGAGUCAAGAUUUUUAAGUUUUCGUGAACUCAAGUAUUUCUAGACUAUUAUGGACUUUAUCUCAAAGCUAACUUGUUAAGGGCAUUUUCGUAAUUUAAGUGAAGUUUGGAUAAGCUUUAGCUAUAAAUAUCAUUUUUCAGUAGCUUCUUCUCAUUUUUCAAUAGCUUCUUCUUCUUCUCCCUCCCAUCUCACAUUUCUUUCAUCCUCUAUGAAAGCUUCUCUCAAAGCUUCCAUCACCCUCUCAAACUAACCAUAAAUUUCAUGCUUUUACACACCCUGUUAUAGGGUUUUUCAUGCUCUUUCACUCUCUCACCUUAAAACCCUUAAAAAGUCUUACUCCCAUACUUUCUCUCACUAGCUAGGUGUUUUAGAGAGAGAAAAAGAGAGAGAGCUUCUAUAAUAGCUUGAAAAUUUGUGGAAAGGAAUUUACUUACAAAGCUACCAAGGUGAGUAAUGAAGUAGAGUUGAUUUUUAAGUGUUGAGAAUGGCUAGUGAUUAGAUUUGUGAGUGUUUUAUAGUUGAGGUUGUUUAUUCAUUUUAGAGUGAUUAGGAUAGUGAAAAUAGAUGGCCACUUAAUGGCAAUUGGAAGCUAGUUAGGAGAUAGCUUUAAAAAUUUAUAGUUAUGUGAAUUGAGUUAAUUGUGAUGUUAUUGUGAUAAUAGGUUCCAACGAAACCCCACUGCCCCAUUUGGACCAUUAAAGGAAGUUAGAGUUGGGUAAAGAUUUAACAAGUACCGAUGAGUGAACUUGCAUUUCAAAAUGUUUUGGGAAGUGCCUACAUGUUUAAAUAAAUCAUUUGAAAGUUUCAUUUGUUUUUGCUUUAAAUAUAUACCUAGGGAAAAAAUAUACUUGGGGAACAAGCCCUUGAUGAAAUGUUUCUAUCUUGUGAAAUGUGCAAUAUGAAUAGUUCAUGCGUUAUCACAUUAUAUUUGUCAAGCCCUACUCUAUUAUAUACUUGUCAUGUCAUUCAUGUGCUUGAUAGAAUGUUUGCAUAAGUGAAUGUAUUGAAAAAUCGUUAAAAGUCGGUAUUGUACCUAGUGGUACAAUUAAGUUGAUUAAAGCCUUGAACUAGGUCAAAUAAAGAUUUUACAAUGUAUUUGAGAGUUAUUGAAUCUUAGAAUGUCUUAAUAUGGUGAUUCGGAGUUCAAGGAUUGAUUUGGAGUCCAAUCGAGAAUUUUCAUAACGUAAGGGCAAAAUGGUCAUUUUACCACCCAAGGGCAAAAUUGGAAUGUUGGAUGAGAUUUUUGACCAAGUUUGACUAUUUGGAGCAUAAUUUGAAAUUGUGGAGUGAAAAAUUUCAAUUUUGACAUUUUUUCGACAUUUUUCGAGUAUAAGGGCAAAACGGUCAUUUCACGUGUCCAUGAGGACGUAAUUGAAAUUUUACACCACCAUGACACUUGUCAAGCCCAUGAAUUUCACAUGUUAUCACUUUAUACUUUGGAUAAUUAUGGGAUUACAUGUGGUGGUGAGAAAUUGCUUAAUGGUUAAGUUUUUAAUCAUGGACCAAUCAAGUGGUGACAUGUGUCAAGCUUUAAUAUUUUUAUGAUUUUCCUUUAUAAACUGACUUAAGCUUCUCCCAUUUCACUCUUAUGGCUGGCCAAGCAAGGGAACAAAGAGAAAAAGAGAAGAACAAACCCUAGGAAGGAAAAAUUCAAGAGUAAUUGUUGGAUUUCAAGGAAUCAAACAAGUAAAGGUAAGAUUUUUUAAUUUUAGCUUGUGAUCUACCUUUCCCAUGCAUUCUUUUUCAUUCUCCAUGGCUGAAAUUCAAGUUUUCAAGAGGGAACCUUGCUGGCCAAAUCUAGAGAGAGAAGUUUUGGUGAUGAAUUUUGCUAGAUUUCAUAAUAACCUAGUGUUUUUAGUCAUUUUGUGAUGUUUGGAAGGAAAAACAAGCAAGAAAAUCCAUGUUCUUCAACCACCCACAUUUGGCCAAAUUUUCUAUAGGGCAUGUUGAUGAUGGAUUUGGUUGUAAUUCCUGUUAUUAGCUAGGAAUUGAUGAAUUAUGAUGUUGGAUAUAGAAAUCGGAAUGAAUUUUGGUUACGGUGAAUUAAGUCACAAUUAAGCUCAUUGAGGUACUUUGGUGUAUUUGGAAUAUUGGAAGUGUAAUGAAGAUAUUUAGAGUUGAAUUGGAUGUUUUGGCUAAUUAAACAAGGUAUAGUAUGAGUUAGGUCGAAUGCCAAUUCAGUCUGAUCAUAAUUGAACCCACGUAGAACACCGUCUUUAAGUGAUUAUUCGGACAAUUCUCAUUCAAUGUCAUGCAUUCAUAUAGAGCCUGAAAUAAUUUUAUAAUAGUUUGGCACAAAUAUAUUGAAUUACAUGUCGUUUAUUAUGUAUAGGGGGUAAGCCCUUUGAUAAGGGUAAAGAUAUUGUGCUUGAGGACCAAGAAUAAGAGUACUCCAAACUCCUGCUAUUAUGAGUAAUCAGACUUUCAUCUUAACUAUCUAAAGUAGUUUAUACUCGUUUUUAUAUUUUAAAGAAAAUUGAAUUUAAAUUGCAAACUAUUAUGUUUUAUAAUUGAAGUGUUGAUUAAACGAACUGAGAUUUAUAACUUGUUUUGAAAUUGAAUAUUGGUUUUGGAAAUUGAGUAAGUGGAGACUGUAUACUUGUGUUAUAUAUAUGUUUUGAUAUAUGGUUUGAAUUGAUGGCUUAUGACAAUGUGAUGGCAAGCAUGGCUGGAUUUGUGUUUGUGUGGAAUAUAUGAACUGUUUUGCUUUGCCUUGACAGGCUGGUAAUAUUAUAUUAGCCAUGUCAUGUUGUCGAAAAUUUUAUUGAAUUGGUGGGUUAUUUGAUUAGCUUACUGCAGUGGGUGGGUUUCCGUGGACUAGCCUAUGAGAGGGGCACGGUAAACCUCGUUAUAUUUUACCUUAGUAUGAGAGGCGAGAAGGGUAUCUCCUAAGGUAAAGUUAGAGUUCACCUUACGCCGAACCACCAUGUGAGGGUGAAACUCAGCCAACGCCAAGGAAUGGCUGUGCUUUUAAAUGUAAAAAAAAAAUGAGUUUUAUACUCAUAUGUUAUUUUAACAGCUUUGGCGGACUCGAUUGGAUGUCUCGGGGCAAGGUGUCACAGAGUCCAAGUUUUUAGCACGAGCCAAAUUUUAAGAGAAUCAUAAGCCUUGUUGAUUUUGAUGAAAUGAAAUUGAUUUACAUGGGUUGAAAUGAGAUUUGAUGUUAUGAAUCAUAUUAUGAUGAGAUGUUUUAAAUUGUCUCCAUUUACUCAGCUUUAGAUGUUAUAGAUGAAAUUUGCUUACUCAUUGGGUUUAUAAAAACUCACCCCUCCUUUUCACCCAUUUCAGGCUUAGGGCAGUUUGUAGACCGCUGAUUAUGUCGAGGGUUUGCUUUUGGGUUUUCACCCUUAGAAAUCGCAGGUCUAUAGUCUUGUACAUAUAUGUUUAUUUUGGGGGCCCACAUGUCAUUGUAGAAUAUUUUGUAUACCUAGCUGCGUGUGCCACUGUAUGUAUGAAUUUAUUUUGCUUUUAUGCUACAAAAAUUAUUUACACAGAGUUCUAUAAAUAUUGUUUUAUAAGAAAAUGGAAUAUUUUAUUUAAUAUUUUUAUUUAAUUUGAAUAGCUAUAAUUUCACUUUAAAUUGAUGAAUUAGACAACGAAACUUAUUUUUAGAUACGAACUGUAUAUUUUUCAUUUAUAUAUUAUAUUUUUAACAGGAUUCAAAAUUUUUGGGUAAAAUGACCAAAAUACCCCUGUGCAGUAGAAAUUACUUUUUGAUCGUUUUGAUUUGAAAAUAAUCUAUAUUCUUUCAAAACAUGAUAUUUAGUAACUGUUGCUCACAAGAGAGACAUAAAAUUGAUGCAAGAGCCUUGCGAGGUUUUGGUUGACGUUCUGGGUAAUGAAUGUCUAUGGAGACAUCGUGGCGGUUGUCACGGGCUCGAUGGGAAUUUCGGGUCGUGACAAUAUUGAUAUGAAUAUUAUUCAUUGGAUGUUUCUUUUGUGUGAUAAUGAUGACCCAGCUAUGUGUGUGUGGGAGUGCACAUGAGCUGAUGAUGACCCGGCUAUGUGCGAGUAGGGAGUGCACAUGAUGAUGAUAUUGCAUUGUGCAUGUAGGGAGUGCACAUGAGCUGAGUGUGGCGGAUGGUAUGCAUGAUGAUGUAUGUAUAUAUAUAUAUAUAUAUAUGUUAUAUAAAGUUUAUGAAAAUAUUUGUGAUUGUGUUGUAUGCUGGCAUUGUUAAUUGCUCCCAAAUUGCUUUUCAUUUCAGCAAGAAAAUGGCUUUUUGAUGUAACAAGACCCCUUCAACUAAAUUGCUCUGUUCUCGCUGCAGCGAGAUUCAUUUUCCUUGCAGCAAGAAACUCUCGGGUAGGCAGCCUUAAUCAUGCUUUGAAUUUUGCUGUAGCAAGGAAUUUUGUUGUAGUGAAAAUGAAUCUCGUUGCAGCGAGAAACUCUCGGGGUAGUUCCAAAAUUCUAAUGUAGUACUUUCAAUUUGAAAAAGAUUUUGACCACCUUCCAAUCAAAAUUGGGAAAUGUGGUAAUCAUAAAAGUUGUAUCCCAGCCUCUUAGCUUUCUAAUGAUUCAAAAAUCAUGUCAAUUGGACUUCUGUAGUGGGAGAUAUGUUAGAAAAACCAAAACAUAUGCAAAUUGAGAAUGCCUUUUCGUUGUAUCAAGAAAACUCUUUAUUUGCUUGUCUUGCUUGGUCAUUGCUGAAAUUUUCAUUCUAUUUAACUUCAUGGUUUAUCAUGGAUCUUUGUAAAAUUAAGGGAUUAAACAUUCAAGGUUUGAAAUGAGGGGUUUUAACCAAAAAUUAGACUAAAUUGCAUGGUUUUAUCGUAAGUGCAUCAUGUUUUCUAAAACAUUCCUUAUCGUUGCUUGUUCCCUUCUUAUGUUCACUCACUGAGUUUUAUACUCACUCUUUUAAACUUCAUGUUUUCAGAUUCGGAGGCAGUUGGGACCUAGAUUGAGUUGUCCACAUAUGCUCACCUUCUUGGUAGGUAGUAUGACAUCUCAGUAGCCGGUACUCACCCACAGUCACUCCGCUGACGGUCAAGAGUCUUAUGCUUGUGUAUACAUAUAAAUAAUGUAGACCACUAAGAUUCAUGUUAAAAAUCAAAUAUGUAUAUUUGAUUACUGAUGCCAUUAUAGGUUGGCAAACGAGUGACAUUAUUUUAACAUAAUACAAAUGUGAAUAUUGGGUUGCUAUAAAAUGUUACUGAAAUUUUUAUAGUUGAGAAUUACAAUAUGUGGUUUUUGAAAUGAUGGCGGGGAAUGAUGAUCGAGAUUGCAUAGAAAGGCUUGCUUGGGCUUAUUAUAUGCCUUUGGCCAAAUUUUCUUACAAUAAUAGUUAUCAAGCCACAAUUGUUAUGGCUUCUUAUGAGGCUUUAUAUGGUUGAAGGUGUAUAUCACCUAUUAAUUAGCUUGAGGUCGGAGAAAGGAAACUCUUAGGAUCGAAAAUGGUCUAGGAAGCAGAACGAGGCAUCUAUGUAAUUAGAGAAAGGCUAUUAAUGGCUUAAAGUCACCAAAAGUCCUAUGCUAACAAUAGGCAAAGGCCUUUAGAAUUUCAAGUUGGAAAUUAUGUUUUUUUCAAAGUUUCAUUGAUUAAAAGAGUCAAAAGAUUUGGGAAGAAUGAGAAAUUGAAUCAUAGAUACAUCGGGCCCUUUGAGGUAUUAAAGUGCAUUGGUACAGUUGCUUAUCAUUUGGCGUUACCACCUAAUUUGUCCGAUGUUCAUCUGAUUUUUCCAUGUAUCCAUUCUUAGGAAGUAUGUUCCUAGCCUUUCGCAUGUGAUUCAGCAUGCUGAGGUCCAGUUACAAGACAAACUUAGUUACGAGGGUAGCUUAUAGCCAUAUUUGAUUAGCAAGUAAAACGACUUUGCUCUAAAGAUAUUGUUAUGGUGAAAGUGUUGUGGCAAAGCCAUGCGGUUGAACAAGCCACAUGGGAACUCAAAGAGGAAAUGAGAUAGAAAUAUCCCCACUUAUUUGAGGUUUAACUUACAUUUUAAUGUGUGGUAUAUGAUUUGAAAUUCAUGGAUGAUUUCUUAGAAGGAGGGGAGAAUGUAACACCCUCGAUUUUUUUAAUAUUAAUUGUGCAUGAUGCUAGACUAGCUCACAGGUUGAUCUUAAGUGAAAUGUGAAUGAUUGUAGGUUGUGGAGGAGAUUUGGGAUGAGUUUAGGCUUCAAAAGAACCAAUAUUUAUGAAUUUGAACCACAAGAGUCAAUCCCAAUGCUUGGAGGAUCCAUCUUGUGAAGUAGAAAUUUAAGGGUAAAUAAUUUGUGUAGAAAAAUUUAGGGGUAAAAAUAACACUGGCCCAAGAUCGAGUACAAAACCCUUGUAGUUGAUCCUAGGGCAAGAAAUGGGGGUGAGAUUGAACAAUGUGGUCCAAGAUCAACUCUGGAGCUCCCAUAGUUGAUCUUGAGGUGCCAGAUCAGCAAAAAUUAGGCUUAAAAGCCCCAAAACUGAAAAAUCCUCUAUUUUCUUCCAUUUCUUCAUUCUCUCAUCCGAGUUCUCCAAAAUUUCACCCCACUCAAAAUCUUCACACUUUAAUGCUAAAUCUUGGAUUUGAGGAGCUAAAAGUGAGGAUUUGUAUCUCCAAAAGUGUGGAUUUUAUUUGUGAUCUCUUUCGCUAACAAUUUCAAACCCUAAGUCUCAAGGUGAUGUGUAAAGCUUAUUUAAGCUAGAUCCAUACUUGAGAAACAUUCUUAGAGGUAAGAUUUAGUGUUUUUGUUGGUUGAUUUUCAAUUUAAUCAGUUGAUAACCUAAGAUUUAAUUUUGGUCUAACUUUGAGGAAAAUUGGUCCCAUUUAGUUGACUGAAGAUUUGGGAUAAAUUGUGCAACUCGGCUUCCAAGGUAUUGGUUUAGCUCAUUAUUAAAGGGUUUGAGCUUAUAUGUGUUGAAGUUGGAUCUUAGUAGAUUGAUGUGAUUUAUAAAAGCAUGGAUUUCAAAAAUUUCUUUUAUAAAGGAAGCAAGCAAUCCAAUUACAUAAGCAGAAACACACAUCAUUCUUAUUGCAAGUAACAUAAUCGCAUCCUAAAAAAAUAAGAAUCUAUUAAGUAAAACAAAUCAUACCUUUUAUUUUGAGAUUCUUAUUUUCAGACACCACCACACCAAUGAAUGAUUUCUCAACCAAACAAGUCUACCACUUAUUCUUCAAGAAUAGUUUCAACUUGAACCUUGAGUGGACAAGGUAUGGAAUGCAAGACUACAAGAUGACAACUGAUUUUGUCUCUCUUUUCUGCAGAAAAGUUUGGAGGAGGAAAAGAAAAGUGACGGUUGAAAUUUUUUCAAGAAAAAGUACGUUCUUUUUUUUUUCUUCCAAUCUCUUCUCUUUUUAUUAAAACUCUUGCCUCAGAGGUUUAAUUAAAAUGAAGCACGUUUGAAUCAAUCUUGACCAUCCAUUUAGAGCGAUGGAAGUAUCAAACAUACUUCAUAAUUAUCAAAAUUAAAAUUAAAGAAUAAAUAAUUUAAUUCUUUAAUUAUCAUUUAGAGUUCUUGAUAAAAUAAAACUCCUUAUUGAAUAAUAACUCUUAUUUUAUUAUUAUCCAUCUUUAUUUUGAAAGAAUUAAUAAUAAAUAAAAGAAAGAUAGUCAAACAUGGGGUCUUCUUUUAUCAACAUGGAUGUCUAGAUUUGUUUUGCAAGAAUCCUCCUAACAUUAUCUUAAUUUAAGACAACUCUUGUCUUUAAUUAAGACAAAAAUAUUUUAUCUUGUCAAAAUUGAGACAAAAAUGUUUUCUUGUCUAGAUUAAGACAAAAAAUAUUUUUCUUGUCUUAAAUUAAGACAAAGAUAUUUUGUUGUCUAAAUUAAGACCAAACAUAUUUUUUUGUCUAAAUUAAGACAAACAUGUUAAAGCUUCCAUUUUUGUACACAAUUUAAUUAAUCAAAUUAAAAAAUUUCAACUUAAACAAGUUGAAUUCUACGAAGAUAAGUGGGGAAUCUAUUUGGACAUAGAUAUUCCAAGCUCUAAUAAACUUAGAAUUAUUCUUGAUCUCAUUAAAAAUAAUUCAAGCUUAUUAACCACGAAAUCACUCCACCAUAGAUUCAUGGUUGCACUAUUGGAUUAACUAUAAUUACAAGAAACAAUUAAAUACUUGAUAUUAAUUAUUAGUUUUCUAAUUACAAACCUUCUAUUGUGAACCUCAUAGCCGUCCAAUGACAAAAAGUGAAAUUAUCGUUUUACUGUUUAUGUCAAUUUUGUCCUUUAGUCUCAAUUUCAUCCAAUUAGUGGUUCAAUACUUUAGAUCUAAUCUUUGAGUAUGCACAUGUGAUGAGUAGCUAAUUCAUCAAUCCACUAGGCCCAGAUUAAUCACUAAUCUUCCUAAAAUCGCUAGAAGUGAUGUUAAUGCUAUGAACUCCAUUAUCUAGAUAUAUGUUCCCAGAUGUUCAUCUUGAUUGUAAUCCCAAAAUACGGAGUCUAGAUCAAUGCUUUAUGAUGAUCAUGCUCAUGGAAAAUUAAAGAUUCUAAGGAGAUUAAACAUGAGUCCACUAUCCAUCAAGAUUUUCAUUCUACUAUAAGCAAAUACAUAAGUGUGAAUCAAGAUUUUAAGUAAUAGUAAAACUUAAAUUUGAUUCUCACGUGAUUCCAGUUCAUGUUAUAGUGUCAUUACUCGAAGUUAACCAUUUUGAUGAUUUGAGACUCAUCAUUCCCUUGAAAUGAAUCACAUUUGUCUCGCUGGAAGUAAUGUGGACACUACAGCCUUAACACAAUAAAGUGACUAGCUUUAUUAUAUGGCUGUGAAUAAUUUUUAGAUUCAAUUAAAAUACAUGUCUUCUAUGUAUGACUUUUUCAUACAAAUGUAUUUUAAUAUCUCAAUAGAAUCAUGGUACCUUAAUAACUAGAUAAUGAAUGCUUACUAAAACAAACUCUUCGUUUUAUUAUAAAAAUGUACCUUCAUUACAAAUAAAUUUAAUGAAAUUAAGCAUGAGAAUAUACUUGCUUUCCAAGGCACCGUAUUCUCAAAAUUCCUAACAAUCUCCUACUUGCCCUAAAAGCAAGUAUGACAUAUCCUUCAUUCCAAGACCUUUUAAGUGACCAUCGAAAGUUUUUUGUGUUAGAGUCUUUGUGAAUGGAUCGGUGAGGUUCUACUCUAUUAGAAUUUUCUUCACAAGUACUUCUCAACGUUGUAUGAUCUUUUGAAUGAGAUGAUAUUUCCUUUCAAUGUGUUUUGUUGCUUUAUGAUUCUGUGGUUCUUUUGAGUUAGCCAUUGUCCACUGUUAUCACAAUAGAGUGUAAUAGAAUUAUGGUACCUUAAUAAAUAGAUAAUGAAUGCUUACUCAAACUGUAUGGGAAUAUUAAUUUAAUGUACUUUCAUUAAAAUGUUGAAUUACAUAUAAAUUUUUUAUCAAAAUAAAUCAUUGUCCACUGUCCACUCUUCGUUUGUUUAUCAAAAUGUACUUUCAUUACAUAUAAAUUUAAUGAAAUUAAGCAUGGGAAUGUACUUGCUAUCCAGAGCACCAUAUUCUCAAAAAUCCUAACAAUAUGUUGAAUUGUUAAGGAUUUAGCUAGUUUUAGAAAAGCUGGCAUUUUUGGAAAGCCAAGAUUUAAUGGAUUUCGUAAUGUUUUGAUGUGCUUAAGGGAAUAUUGAUUUAUUUGAGCAUGUUUAUGAGCUGAAAAAUGAUUGGAGGCUAAGGAUUGAAGCUUGGUUGAGGAGCACCUCCAAAUUGUCCCCAUGAGUGGGAUUUAUCAAAUGCAUGUGAUGCAUAACGCAUGGAAUAUGCGUUGCACUGGAUAUUAUGAAUGUUGGCCUAGAUGAGCAUGCUUAGGCUAGAGAAUUAUGUAUUUAUGUGUAAGAAUGUGAUUGCCUAGAUGAAUGUACCUAGGCUAAUAUAUGGUUUACAUAUAUGUUAAUAUAUAUGCAUGUUUUGUGAAUGCCAUUGGGAAGCAUGAGCCAGUAGACAUCUAGGUGAUGUAUGAUUUUGAUGGGUCCUGGAUAUGUGGUGAUUAAAUCAUUAUGAUGGUGAUACUACGAUGUGUUAUUAGAUUGCCCAUUUGUUGACAGAAUGUUGAUGCAUGAUUUGAUAUGAUAUUAUUCAUGUAUAUGCGACUAUUAGGCCAUGAUUGAAUAUAAAUUAUAUUGUUGAUGUAUACAUAGCCAGUGAGCCAUGAUUAAUAAGGUAUUUAGAACUUGAAUGAGCUUAUUGAUAGAUGAGGCUUGAUGAAUGUGAUCAUCAUCAUGUUAUGGACAUAUAGAAAUAUAAAGACAUGAUGGUCUCAGUCUCAUUGAGGAAAUGUGUUCCAUCUGAGGAAUGAGUUAUGGACGUCGAUCUAACUUGAGGAUGAGUGGAGUUUGAUAUCCAUGUGACUAUGUUAGUGCCUCAAGGAUGGUGGUAAAUAAGGGUAGUGGUUGAAAUCCUGCCUAUGAUUCUUGCUUGUUGUGUAUAAUGCCAUUCGCCCGGAGAUUACUCCGGAUGAUGAUUGUGAUGCCACUUGUGGAGAAUACUUCAGGUGAUGUCGUCUUUUGGGAUAUUGCUAUCAUGACUCAAACCCAGGGCCAUGAUCAAUGCACGAGCCCAGCAGGCGAGCCCACUAGACCCAAGCAAACCUCAAGGUUCAUAUCCAAGCAUACACAGGCCAAGGGACUCAAUAAUCAAGCAUUCAUAAUAAAUUCGAAUAAAGUACAAUAUCCCUAGCUAAAUUUCCAUACAAAUAGAAAUAGGGCCAUACAUUGGCCAUCCAAACGAGUUCAUACAUAUUAACCCUUAAUACACAACAUAACAUGGCACUCAAUGCCUACAACAUUAUCCAUAGUGGAAGGCUUUGACUAACUCAACGGAGUGACCAAAAUAAAGGACCUACUAGAUGCCGAAAUCGAUUUAUCUAUAGACGAUCUUUGCCAUGCUCCUUCAUGGUCUAUUUAUCUGCACAUGAUACACAAAUGGGUGAGUAUUAUAAUAAUUAGUGAGUGAUGCAGAUAAUCCAAAUCAAAUUAUAUGCAUAUAUACAUCAAACAUAUAAUAACUAUAUUGCACUCUCAGUAUGUCCAUAUAAUCUUUCAAUACAUUUCCAAAUAUAGAGGGAUAUAGUCAUCCCUAGGUUCACCAAAUAUGGGGUUAUGUCAUCCUCCCCAAAGUCAUCAUUAUCAUCACAUAUGGUGGGGCUUACCCUCGAAGCCAACCAAAUCAUUGAAACUAUUCUCCGCAGCACACUUUAGUUGUGAGAGCAUCAAAUGAAAGUCAUACCAUAUGUAUAUCAAGCCUCUCAUGGCUAUCUCACACCAUACACGAAUCAAAUCAACGAGUGGUCCUUUCCUAUACAUAAUCAAAUCACGCUCGGUGGUCAUCCAGUAGAGAAUCAAAUCACACACAAGGCUAAAGCUGUUGAUAAAAAAUAGAUCAUGUUCAACUCUGAAGUAGCUAGCUAAAAGUCAAAGUCAUUGAUUGGAGAAAUCUCUCGACGGUCAGCAUCAGCUGGAGUAUUCUCACAUAGGUGGCAUUACAAUCAUCAUUUGGAGUAAUCUCCCAAUGGAUGGCAUCGUACACUACAGGCGAGAAUUACAAGUGAGAUAUCAAUCACUACCCUUACUUACCAUCAUCCUUGAGGCACGAACAUAGUCAUAGGGCAUCGGACUCCACUCAUCCAUAAAUCAGAUCAACAUUCAGAAUUCAUCUUUUGGAUGGAAACACAAGUCCACAAUUAAGGCCAUCAUGCCUUUAUCAUUCACAUCUUUUGUAUCAAACCUCAAUUCACAUUUAUCGAGCUUUAAUUGUCUUAAGCUCGGUUAGAUUCUAGGUGCCUCUAAGUCUCCAAGGCCUCAUUCAAUCAAAUCGUCUCGACAUAUCAAUCACCUAGGGUAAUCCACUCUUGGGGGUUUAACAUAGCCUACAAGCCUUCUAGUCUAGGCUUACACAACAUAGGCCACCAUGUGGCUCACAUCACAGUGCAAUCACACACAAUUCAAAUAUAUACAUAUACACAUAUAUUGUUCUCUAGCCUAGGUUCAUCCAUUUAGGCUUAUGUACAAAAUCUAGUACUAGUGUAGCGCACUUAUAGUACGUUAUGCAUCACGUGCAUUUAGCUUAAAUCCCACUCAUAGUGACAGUAGAAGGCACUCCCAGCCAAACUCUAAUUCUUUGCCUCUAAUCAUCAUUUACUUGCCAAUGACUUGAUUUAGCUUUGUUUCCCCCUUCAAACACAUCAGAACAUCAAAAGAUUAAUUAUUCUUGGCUUUUGAAAAAUGCCAGCUUUUCACACAAUUAACUAAAUCUUAGCAAUCCAACUAUUGAAGCUCAAAUCCUUCAUUAAUGAGCUAAACCCAUACCUUGGAAGUCGGAUUGCAUGAGUCUUAGCUCUAAAUUCUCUAAUCCAAGCCACAGAGGGAAAAAUACCAAAUUUGGAGAAAACUCAUAUUCGAAGUUAUUAACUGAUUAAAUUGAAAAAUAAUCAGUAAAAACAUUAAAUCAUACCUCCAAAAUGGUUUCCCAAGCUCCAAAUAGCUUCAAAUGGCUUAGAAAUUCAAUUUGGAGGGUUAGAGUUUUAGACGUUUUAAAGAGAGAAAGAGUUAAAAGAAAGAGUUGAGCGAAAUGGCUCAAAAUCCCUUGUUAUUUUUUCCUUUCUUUUUUUUGUAUCAAUAUAUUUUGGCAAUGUACUGAUACAUUUGCCCUAAUUUCGAAUGAAUGUAUCAAUACAUUGCGAAAAUGUGUCGAUACUUUUCCCCUUAGGUGCUUUUUGUUUCAAAUGUAUCGAUAAAUUUGGACAAUGCAUCGAUGUUCAUCUUUAGCCAAAUCUAUCAAUACAUUAUCAAAUGUAUUGACAAAAUAUUUAUCACAACCCAAAACUCCCAUCGAGCCCGUGACAACCAUCGCUAUGUCCCGAUAGACAUUCAUUACUCGGAAUGCCAAUCGAAACCUCGUAAGGCUUAACACCAGUUUUCUCGCUUCCUUUGUGAGUAUUAGUUACUAAAAUCAUGUUUUAAAGUGAUAUGAACCAAUUUCAAUUCAAAAACAGUCAAAGAGAAAUUUCAACUACAUAGGGGUAUUUUGGUCAUUUUUCUCAAAAAUUUUGAAACUAGCUAAAAUGUAGUAUAUGAGAGAAAUUUACACAUUUCAUAACCAAAAAUAAGUUUAGAUAUCUAAAACAUUCAUUUAAAGUGAAAUGAUAGCGAUUAGAAUAAAAUAAAAAUAUUGAAUAAAAUAUUCUAUUUUCUUAUAAAACAAUUUUUAUAGAGAUAUCCGUAAAUAAUUUUUGUAGCGUAAAAGCAAAAUAAAUUUGUACAUACAGUAACACAGAUAGUCAAGGUAUGUAAUUAAAUUUACAAUGACACGUGGGUCCCUUAAAUGACAAAAGUGAACGAAGGCUAUGAACCUACAAUUUUUGAGGAAGUAAAGCCAACUGUAGCCUUUGACGAUAUCAGCUAUCUACAAAUUAUCCUGAGCUUGAAAUGGGUGGAAAAGAGGGUGGUGAGAUUAUAUAAUCCCAGUGAGUAAACAAAUACCAUCUAAAAUAUCUAAAGCUGAGUAAAUGGAGACAGAUAAAAUAGAUUGGCAUAAAAAUGAUUCAUAGCAUUUCGAACUCAUUUUAAUAAGAUAAAAUAGAUUCAUUUCACCCAAAUAAACAACGAGGCUUAUGAUUUCCUGAAAAGCUUGGCUCGUGCCAAAAUCAUUCUCAUACUCAGUUAUCAGGGAUACCUUGGCCUGGGGCUAUCCCAACCGAGUCCGCCAAGGCUGUUAAAAAGUCAUAUACACAUAAAUCAUGUUUUUAUUUUGAAAACAUAGCCGUUCCUUGGCGUUGGCUGAGUUCACCCUCAUGUGGUGGUUUGGCGUGAAGUGAACACUAAAGUUUUACCUCAGGAGUUACCCUACGCGCCUCUCCGAUCGAGGUAAGAUUAUACCCAGAUUUCGUGCCCCUCUAAUAGG